UAAUGACUCUCGGCAACGGAUAUCUUGGCUCUCGCAUCGAUGAAGAACGCAGCAAAAUGCGAUACUUGGUGUGAAUUGCAGAAUCCCGUGAAUCAUCGAGUUUUUGAACGCAAGUUGCGCCCGAAGCCUUUUGGUCGAGGGCACGUCUGCCUGGGUGUCACGC
rnacentral:rRNA from 1 species